rnacentral:rRNA from 1 species
AGUGAACGCUGGCGGUAGGCCUAACACAUGCAAGUCGAACGGCAGCACAGUAAGAGCUUGCUCUUACGGGUGGCGAGUGGCGGACGGGUGAGGAAUACAUCGGAAUCUACUUUUUCGUGGGGGAUAACGUAGGGAAACCUACGCUAAUACCGCAUACGACCUACGGGUGAAAGCAGGGGAUCUUCGGACCUUGCGCGAUUGAAUGAGCCGAUGUCGGAUUAGCUAGUUGGCGGGGUAAAGGCCCACCAAGGCGACGAUCCGUAGCUGGUCUGAGAGGAUGAUCAGCCACACUGGAACUGAGACACGGUCCAGACUCCUACGGGAGGCAGCAGUGGGGAAUAUUGGACAAGGGGCGCAAGCCUGAUCCAGCCAUACCGCGUGGGUGAAGAAGGCCUUCGGGUUGGAAAGCCCUUUUGUUGGGAAAGAAAAGCAGCAGGUUAAUACCCCGCUGUUCUGACGGUACCCAAAGAAUAAGCACCGGCUAACUUCG